GGAAGAAUCAUGACCCAAAGCGAAGCAUGUGCGCGCAAGUAAGGAUUGUCAUCACUGUGGCUAAUACUGCUUGUGCCAUGGCGCAUGUACCAAAAAAUGACCUUGUCCAGGCGAAGGAUCCAGUGGUGGACGGGGAAAGGAGCAAAGCUAGGGGUUUGCUUGUGAUUUGUAAAGAACUGCAACCCCUUUCUUUUGAGCAAAUAUAUUGUAAUGUAUUUAAGAUUAGGGUGCCAGUAGAUAUGAUUAUGUGUGUGUGUGUGAAUAUGUGUGGAUUGUGUGCUUGUGUAUGAAUUUUUGUCUGUUUGCAGAAUUGUGGCUAGGAAACUUGGUUAUGGUGUGUGGUUUUGAUGGAUUUACUUAGUAGACCAAGUUUCUAUUACAAGCAGAUCUUUAUUUUGAUAUAUAUGUGAUUUUAUAAGCAAA